rnacentral:rRNA from 1 species
AGAACCUGAAACCGUGUGCUUACAAGUAGUCAGAGCCCGUUAAUGGGUGAUGGCGUGCCUUUUGUAGAAUGAACCGGCGAGUUACGAUUUGAUGCAAGGUUAAGCAGUAAAUGUGGAGCCGUAGCGAAAGCGAGUCUGAAUAGGGCGUUUAGUAUUUGGUCGUAGACCCGAAACCAGGUGAUCUACCCUUGGUCAGGUUGAAGUUCAGGUAACACUGAAUGGAGGACCGAACCGACUUACGUUGAAAAGUGAGCGGAUGAACUGAGGGUAGCGGAGAAAUUCCAAUCGAACCUGGAGAUAGCUGGUUCUCUCCGAAAUAGCUUUAGGGCUAGCCUCAAGUGAUGAUUAUUGGAGGUAGAGCACUGUUUGGACGAGGGGCCCCUCUCGGGUUACCGAAUUCAGACAAACUCCGAAUGCCAAUUAAUUUAACUUGGGAGUCAGAACAUGGGUGAUAAGGUCCGUGUUCGAAAGGGAAACAGCCCAGACCACCAGCUAAGGUCCCAAAAUAUAUGUUAAGUGGAAAAGGAUGUGGCGUUGCCCAGACAACUAGGAUGUUGGCUUAGAAGCAGCCAUCAUUUAAAGAGUGCGUAAUAGCUCACUAGUCGAGUGACACUGCGCCGAAAAUGUACCGGGGCUAAACAUAUUACCGAAGCUGUGGAUUGUCCUUUGGACAAUGGUAGGAGAGCGUUCUAAGGGCGUUGAAGCAUGAUCGCAAGGACAUGUGGAGCGCUUAGAAGUGAGAAUGCCGGUGUGAGUAGCGAAAGACGGGUGAGAAUCCCGUCCACCGAUUGACUAAGGUUUCCAGAGGAAGGCUCGUCCGCUCUGGGUUAGUCGGGUCCUAAGCUGAGGCCGACAGGCGUAGGCGAUGGAUAACAGGUUGAUAUUCCUGUACCACCUAUAAUCGUUUUAAUCGAUGGGGGGACGCAGUAGGAUAGGCGAAGCGUGCGAUUGGAUUGCACGUCUAAGCAGUAAGGCUGAGUAUUAGGCAAAUCCGGUACUCGUUAAGGCUGAGCUGUGAUGGGGAGAAGACAUUGUGUCUUCG